GAGGGUAUAGCUCAGUGGUAGAGUGCAUGCUUAGCAUGCACAAGGUCCUGGGUUCAAUCCCCAGUGCUUCCA
rfam:Camelus ferus unplaced genomic scaffold scaffold1113, whole genome shotgun sequence.